ACACAUGCAAGUCGAACGAGAGAUGAGGAGCUUGCUCUUCAAAUCGAGUGGCGAACGGGUGAGUAACGCGUGAGGAACCUGCCUCAAAGAGGGGGACAACAGUUGGAAACGACUGCUAAUACCGCAUAAGCCCACGGCUCGGCAUCGAGCAGGGGGAAAAGGAGCAAUCCGCUUUGAGAUGGCCUCGCGUCCGAUUAGCUAGUUGGUGAGGUAAUGGCCCACCAAGGCGACGAUCGGUAGCCGGACUGGGAGGUUGAACGGCCACAUUGGGACUGAGACACGGCCCAGACUCCUACGGGAGGCAGCAGUGGGGAAUAUUGCACAAUGGGGGAAACCCUGAUGCAGCGACGCCGCGUGGAGGAAGAAGGUCUUCGGAUUGUAAACUCCUGUUGUUGAGGAAGAUAAUGACGGUACUCAACAAGGAAGUGACGGCUAACUACGUGCCAGCAGCCGCGGUAAAACGUAGGUCACAAGCGUUGUCCGGAAUUACUGGGUGUAAAGGGAGCGCAGGCGGGAGAACAAGUUGGAAGUGAAAUCCAUGGGCUCAACCCAUGAACUGCUUUCAAAACUGUUUUUCUUGAGUAGUGCAGAGGUAGGCGGAAUUCCCGGUGUAGCGGUGGAAUGCGUAGAUAUCGGGAGGAACACCAGUGGCGAAGGCGGCCUACUGGGCACCAACUGACGCUGAGGCUCGAAAGUGUGGGUAGCAAACAGGAUUAGAUACCCUGGUAGUCCACACCGUAAACGAUGAUUACUAGGUGUUGGAGGAUUGACCCCUUCAGUGCCGCAGUUAACACAAUAAGUAAUCCACCUGGGGAGUACGACCGCAAGGUUGAAACUCAAAGGAAUUGACGGGGGCCCGCACAAGCAGUGG
rnacentral:rRNA from 1 species